rnacentral:rRNA from 1 species
GUGCUUCACACAUGCAAGUCGAACGAGGUAGCAAUACCUAGUGGCGGACGGGUGAGUAACGCGUGGGAAUCUGCCUUUAGAUGGGGGAUAACGGGUCGAAAGACUCGCUAAUACCGCAUAUGACGAAAGUUGAAAGGAGUAAUCCGUCUAAAGAUGAGCCCGCGUCCGAUUAGCUAGUUGGUAGAGUAAAAGCCUACCAAGGCGACGAUCGGUAGCUGGUCUGAGAGGAUGAUCAGCCACAAUGGGACUGAGACACGGCCCAUACUCCUACGGGAGGCAGCAGUGGGAAUUUUACGCAAUGGGCGAAAGCCUGACGUAGCGACACCGCGUGAGCGAAGAAGCCCCUUGGGGUGUAAAGCUCUGUCAGCUGGAACGAAAAAAUGACGGUACCAGCAGAGGAAGCAUCGGCUAACUACGUG